GACGGGGGGGGCAAGUGUUCUUCGGAAUUACUGGGCGUAAAGGGCACGUAGGCGGUGAAUCGGGUUGAAAGUGAAAGUCGCCAAAAAGUGGCGGAAUGCUCUCGAAACCAAUUCACUUGAGUGAGACAGAGGAGAGUGGAAUUUCGUGUGUAGGGGUGAAAUCCGUAAAUAUACGAAGGAACGCCAAAAGCGAAGGCAGCUCUCUGGGUCCCUACCGACGCUGGGGAGCGAAAGCGUGGGGAGCGAACAGG
rnacentral:rRNA from 1 species